AUGGAGGGGCUCGACGUCGACGACGUCUUCCACCACUACCGGCUGUGCCCUACGGAAGUGGAGGCCGUCACCUACUACCUGCCACGCCUCCUCUCCGGCGAGACGCUGCACGGCGCCGACAAGCUCAUCCACCGCGUCGAAAUCUCCGGCUGCGAGCCCAAGGAUCUGGCCGCCCGAUACGCGCCCGCGCCGCAGGCCGUGAGCAGCGGCGACCGGUUCUUCUUCACCACGUGCAAGAGCAAGAGCGGGAGCAAGCUCCAGAGCGUGCGCGGCGCCGGCGCCGGCACCUGGAGCAUCCAGAAGACCACGGAGAUUUGCCACGCGGGGGUCAAGGUCGGCGAGGUCAAGAACCUGUCCUUCAAGAAGAAGGGCAAGUCCACCGGCUGGGUCAUGGAGGAAUACCGAUGCCUGCUGCCGGAGGCCACCGUCUCCGACGGGGUGAAGGUGUUCUGCAAGAUGCACUUGGCUCAGCAUGCCCCUGACGCGGCCCGCCAGGAAUCGGAAGCGUACAAGCUUCAGCAACAGCAACCAGAGGCCGUGACCCCGAGCACGCACGCGCAGAAGAGGCCACCGCCCGCUGCCGCCGCCGAUCCUCAUCCGACGCGCCCUAAGAAGAGGAUGCGCGGUGCCGUCCCCGUCUCGGCACCUGCCACACCGUCGUUCUUGAUGUAUGAUGAGGCAGCCAGAGCAAUGCAUGGCCCGCUGGCUCACACCAACUUCCCUAUUCAGUAUGCACAAGCAUCAUGCGAGUCCACUACAACAUCCAGCCGCUCCGACGUUGCUCAAGCUCCUGAGAUUUCCUCCCAGUCAGAUGUGCUGGAGUCCACCCAAUCAGUUCCUGAGGCUGGCUCAAGCAUUGCAAGGAGCACAUCUGAAGAGGGUGUCUUUGAGCCAUUGGGGCCUAUUUCCGAUUUGCCGGAUGGGGACGAAGAUGGUUUUGAUCUUGAAGAACUAAUGAGAAUGAUGGAAGACGACCCAAUUGAAGUUGAGCCGGCCACUGGAGCCAACACUGGAUCCGAUUACCCUGCCUUCCAUGAUGCUGACAAGGAUAAGAGGUACAAUACCGCGCCGGAUCUUGACGCUCCAUCGCUUCAGGGACAGGACCACUUGUCCAAACCGCAGCCGUGCUCCUUCGAUCCAUUUGAAGCAGCGUGGAAGGCCGAAGAGGCGCUCGAGAAGGAGAAGAGGUGCAAUGCCGCGGCCAAUCUUCACGCUGGAGGGCACAGCAACUUCUUCUCGCCUGCAAGUGUCUAUUAA
rnacentral:rRNA from 1 species